rnacentral:misc_RNA from 1 species
GGAAGUAAAGGUCGUAACAAGGUUUCCGUAGGUGAACCUGCGGAAGGAUCAUUCAUAAUAAAGUGUUUUAUGGCACUUUUUAAAAAUCCAUAUCCACCUUGUGUGCAAUGUUAGAUCUCGUCAAUCUUGGCGAGAUUUUUAUACAUCAACUCAUUCUUUAACUAAUUUGUCUGAAAAAUAUUAUGAAUACUUAAUUCAAAAUACAACUUUCAACAACGGAUCUCUUGGCUCUC